rfam:Sphingomonas melonis TY scaffold13, whole genome shotgun sequence.
GAGAGCCGGAUGCAGUGAAAGUUGCACGUCCGGUUCGGAGGGGGGCAGUGGGGUGUUCUCUCGUAGACGCCACCCUGCCUACCCUAC